rnacentral:pre_miRNA from 1 species
AGAGUGUAAUGCAGCCAAGGAUGACUUGCCGCCGAGGUCACACCGAGGUAAUGGUGAUGGCAUUGCAAUAAGUAGUUCAAUCGGCAAGUUGUUCUUGGCUACAUUGGGCUCUCU